rnacentral:lncRNA from 1 species
UUUUUAAAAAGUAUUUUUUAAUUACACACAUAUUGGAUGUGCCUGUAGCAUUUGUUUAUUUUAAAAUUGCACGCAAUAAUGAGUUUUAAUAACGAGAAAUAGCCUAAAUACCUUUCAAAUUUUUUGUUUCUCAAAACGGACGCUAGUGGCGGUGGCUUGCAGUUCAAAUGGCUGAACAUUCAUGCGACAUCGGUACUUGAAUUUGAGCAUCCGAAAUUGCGGCUGCUUGUGGUCCAAAACUGCCCACGAAAUAACUUCAAAUAGCUCCGCUAGCGGCUCACAUUCAAACCAGCGGUGCGCCUUGCUUCCCGCGCAUCUAAUGGCGCCAUAUUUAAAUGCCGACUCCAUGACAGGUGGUCGUAAUCUUACCACGUGUCCUUCCAGGUCAGACAAUCCGUCGAGUCCAUGCAACACGUGGACUCAUAGCUGUUACUUUCCCCACCACGCAGUCUUCCACCACCAUCCAGAAAGAGCCCUUCACUUCCAGCCUCUUCUAUGUAUUUACCCUCUCGGGUCUCGACUAUUAGUAGUAUUAGUACUAGUUGUACUGGGUGUGUUCGGAAGUGGAUGGAUACGGUGGAAGUGCAAGCGGGAUACGAGGAUGUUUUGAUGGAGCCGGAAGAUGAAGGGUGUUCGACGCCUAGGCGUCAGGAAAAUCAGAUUGCAGUGAUGUCUGUGCCACCAGCAGCGCCGAAGAAGAAGCGGUAUGAUUAUGGCGGCAAAAGGCCGCAGCCACCGAAGAGUGGGUUUUUUCAGCCGCCCGAUCUCGAGCUACUCUUUGUCGUGCCUCCCAGGCGUCGUCAAGCCUGUGCUUAAAUAUUGUUAAUUCUUGGAAACUGUAAAGUGACAUAUGGUAUUCACAACUAGUUUGCUUCAUUUUUUGGCUGGAAAAUGGAUGAGCCUAAGUUUUGAUCCGUACUUUGCAGGCUUAGAGGUUAAUUGAAGAAGGCAGUGUGGGGUGUGGAUAGAUUAGAAGCGGGGGCUUUUGUAAUUCUUUUGUACUGGAUGAUGAUUUUUGUGUUAGUGUAAGUUGUUGUAUGAUAGUACCCUACAAUCUUAUCUGCAUGCAUAUUCAUUUUUUGUGCUGCUUCUGAAAUCGAUUCUGCCUCAUUAAAGUUGAUAGUAGUAUUUCCUUGAAAUUUAUUGCUUAAAAUAACUGACUCAUUUUUGAAGCUUCAGUUGAAAGAUCGGGAGACAGGAAUUGAAAGUUUAAUUGACUCAUCUUAGUGCAGGUGUUGGCGCGUUAAUAAACAAUAAACAGCUUCACAUCAAAGUCCUAGUUUUUUUUUUUUCCUUUUCGGGUGGUCAAAUUUACGCCUCUACAAAUCUUUUUAGAUUUUUGAACCCUAAAAAAAUUGUGCCUUUCAAAGCUCCUUUUUUUUGUUUAAGAAAAAAAGAAAAAGAAAGCUGUGCUCUUAAAAAAAAUAAACGAAGAAAUUAAUUUUGGUUUGCAAUCGUAAACUUUUCCCAUGAGUCUUGUCUAAUGUAUCCAUAACUAAGGCAAUUUGGCCAAUUUGUAACCCUAGUUUCCUUGUUAAACAGCAGUUUAGUAACAUGGGGGGAUAAUUUGAUAAAAUGUCGUAAUGUCACUCUUUAAAAGUUUAAUUGAUACGGUCAAAAGUUACCCAUUUCUAUUUCCAUUGACUAUUUAAAAAUUUAAUUGACACGGUCAAAAGUAACUCAUUUCUAUUUCCAUUGAUGAUGUAUAGUAAGGAUCUAUAUAGUGUAGAUAAAUUUCAAGUAUUUCUCGGUUUUCCUUCUAUUGCUUGAAAUUUGACAAUUAGAAUCAGGUAUUCUACGAUCCAACACAUUAUCCCUAUUGGUCAGCAAAAUUUUGAUCUUCAAUCAAAUUUUGCUAGUAAAAUUUCGAUCUUAAGCACGAUUCAGAUCGUUUUUCACGAUUUUACGAUUUAGAUUGCGAUUUUGAUAACUAUCUUUGGAAUAGACCAACAGGUCCAAAAAUUUUACGAUUCGAUUUUUGAUAAGGCCUUGUUUGGAUUGCCGGUUUCCGUCGAAAAAUUACGUCGUUUUCCGUGAUCACAUUUCCCUAUUACCUUUUUCCCUUACAUACAUCAAAUCGCUACAGUAAUUUUUUCAUGAAAAAUCACGGAAAAUGCAAUCCAAACAGAACCUUAAACUGUCUUUAGAGUGGAAAAACAAGACCAAAAAGGGAUUUGCAGAGAGGGGAGUAAGCGAGAACUUUAAAAUCUAACACAAUACUCAAAUUUAUCAAUAAGUGUUUGAAUAAUUGAAUUAUUCCACGAAAUAUUUUACUUAUAUUAUAAAUACAUUUUUUUAUAUUUUUAAUUAUACAUGUAUUAUAUUAUAAAAAUAUUAUAAUAAUUAUUUUAAAUAAAUAAUACGCUACCCAAACACAAAUAUUUACGGGAGGUUGAAGGGAGGGGACAUGAUGGACAUAGCAGGAUUGAAGGGUCACCGUAGGUAGAUAUUGACUAUUCUGGAGAGUACCGCAGUUGAUGUAGCCCAUGUGUUGGCAUGUGGGCCACCAAUUUCCAAAUACUGUAUAUUCUCAACAGUCACAUGACUAAAAGGCCCAAUUAUGGAGAGAAGGUGCAUUGUACUGUUGCAUUAUACAAAAUUGUACGAACCCUUAUAACAUGUGACUCAACAAUAUGGAACAACACAUUAAAAUUGACCCAUCAGGCAGCACUGUUUGACCAAUCUGGUUUGACCCUCACCCACCCCCAUAAAACCAUGGUCCUUCCUGCAACUGUUUUCUUACGAUUUUUGCAUUUUUUAAAAAUUGGUAUAUUGUUUUAUUACAGUUUUUUUAAAACAUAUUUUAAAUCAUACAAAUUUCGCUGGAACAAAUGUUAAUGGUAUUUCCUCAUUUGUUUGUGACACUUCUGUUUUGUUCUUUUUUUUUUUUUUUAAUUACAGCUUUAUAUGGGGGGAUUGUACUAAAUCCAAUGAAGGACAUAGGUACUUUUAUGAGAUUCAUAUGUGAAAAACGUCGAAGAGAGUGGCAAUAACAAAUAAAAGAAUGUGUUAAAUAUUUAGCUUUUGUUGGUUUUCCAACUACCUAGUUAAAUAUGAAAAAUGUACAAAUGCUACUUCGAGUUAAUCUCUAAUUUGAAAAAUUUUCCCCAGCAACAUAAAAAAGUUAUCAGGUUUGAAUAUUAGGUCUGACAGUUAAGGAUGAAAAGGGUGUGAAGAGGAACAAUUCUUUAAUAUAUAUAUUAUAUAUAUAUAUAUAUAUAUAAUUCUUUAAUAUGAUACGAUUAAACGGAAUAAAAUGUUAAAAAGCGUAACGUCAUUGGCAACUGAAAUUUAGUUUUGAAAAAUGAAAUAGGCACAAUUAUUUAUUUUCCCUUUUUAGGAAAUUUAUGUUUAGCAGUACAUUUGUAAAUGAGGAUUAGUACUUGGUUAAUCAUGCACCAGUUGAAGCCUAUUAAUCCUAAAUCCCUAUGCUAAAACGACAAUUUUAAGCUACUGUUAACACUCUCACGUGGUAGUUCACUUCACUAUUGUGCUAAAGCACAUAGCACUUGCUAUUAUUAUCUAAUCUAAUUAAGGGGUCAGUCUAAAUCUCUAAUUCUGUAUGGAGUUCAAAUUUUCCGGCGCUGCGCCGAAGACUUGCACGUGCAGCCAAAAGUAUUAAUCCUGGCACCUUGGUUUUAUUACCGUAAUCUAGUGGAUACACUUGCUUACGAUUGCAGAAGCAAUUAAUUGGCUAGGGUUACUUCCUUUCAAGAACGUUGGACCUCCAUUCUCAAAGAUCACCAAGAUGAUGGUAGCUCAACAUUUUUUAAUACACAAUUAAUACUUUGGGUCCAUUCAUAUAGAUCAUCUUCUUUUUAUCUCCCAAAGACGGCUCCAAGUGCAAUGGUUCAAAUGCAUGUUACUCCAUUAUUAUAGACUGCAAACUUCUGCUUGAGACCUUUUAAUUUUUGUCUCAUUUGACAUUUCUGCUUUCACAUCAGUGGUUUAUUGAUGUUGGUCCCGUCGCUAGACAGCCCCUUCUUCAGUUCUUCUUCUUCUUCAUCUUGCUUGCCGACUUACCCCAAAAAUGGAUGUAUGAAAGAAAAAUAAUGUAACUUGAAAUAUCAAGUGCUGGUACAAGAGAGUAAAAUGGCCGACUAGCAUGGCAGGAGAACCGGGGUGUACAGGCAUCAUCGUUCAUAGCUGGUGCUAUUAAAGUUUUGUACCAUCGGAUACCUUUCAUGGGGUAGAUUCAUGGAAAAAUCCAAUUAUAGAAAAACAAACUUACAACUCAUCAGGCUCAGAAGUUAUCGUCCUUGCUCCCAUCACUUUGGCAGACGUUCUCCUGUAAAAUUAAACAAUACAAGUCGUACAUUUCGACAUCUUGCCCCCACUACCCCUUUUCGAUGGCAUUAUCCUUGAAUUUUCUUAAUUCGAAUGCAUCAUUGAAUAGCAAGAACCAGUGCAAACGAGGAGCAGUACUAAGGAAUAAAAGGAAACGAACAACCUAGUAACUCUAAAACCCUCCUCUUCAGACAUUUGAUUGCAUUUUACGCCAAUACUUUUUUCAGAGUCUGAUGCUUCUUCCUAUCUGUGUCUGAAUGCAACUGCGAGUGAGAUUGACCACGGCUUUUUCCCAUUUUUUGACGCUAUGAUGCAGUCCUGAAAAAGCACCUGUAACUCUGAAAAUUUAAUCCUGAAACGGGCAUCUCUGGGCACCAAAGAAAGUGGGAGAACAGAACACACACACACACACACACAAGGAGUUACCAACCAUCUUAUUUUGGUUGGUAAAUUUGGAAUGAAAUAACUGCAAAGCAAAUCCUCUGACAAACAGCGCUCCUAAAUUAGAUUCAUUGACCAAAGACCACCGACCACCAUAGCCCAAAGGACAUCGAAUUCCCACACUGCCAGUGAAUUCUUAAAUCCUGCUUGCAUUUCACAUCCAGUCGCACGAAACAGUUCCUCGCGUGUACAAGUGAGAGGUGCCUGUUGAAAGUUUCAAAGGAAACAGAAAAAAAAAAUUCUCAACAUAAGAUAUUAGGAUAAAAUAAUAAUUAUUGCAUGGAGCUCCAUGCUACAAAGGAGCAGCACCUCCAUAAAAGCUGAUGGAUCUCUCAUCUCCGGAAGCAGGUUCAAGAACCAGAAACUAAUAAAGAAUUGAAAUAGGACGUAGAAAUAAACAAUUAUUUGGUGAGUAUCAACAUGGAAUUAGGGCCCUUUGUGCAGUAAAUUGAGUUUUAUAUAAAUGUUACAGUCAGACAGGAGCCUGACAAACAGACGUAAGCAGCAACAUGUGCUGCUACCCUGCCAAAGAAGCACCAGUCAACACGCACUUCAACUCCUUCCACCACUGUAUCCAUUUUGCUAUAAAUAGGUGCCAAUAUUUCACCCACCCUCUGUCUUACCAAAGCCCACUCCACAUUCUCCGUCUCUCUCCUUCCCUUAUUAUAGUAGUACUAGGGUAAAAGAAAAGUACUAUAGGGCGGAGCUAGAGAAUCAAUAAACUUCAGAAAGGUUUAGAGAGUAAUCAAUGGAGCAUUACAUGGAUGAGAAAUGGAAGCUGUCCAGGGAUGAUCCGAAUAACCAUUCAUAUUCAUCCUCCUCCAAGUCAUAUCUGAGAAAGAGUGUAUCACAGAAGAGCUCCACCACCAAGUCUCCUCUUGUACGGAGUUCAUCACAGAAAAAUUCUUCCGUUAGGCCUCCACUGUCAAGAAGUUCUUCGCAGAGGAGCUCUCCCACCAAGUCUUCUCUCUCGAGGAGCUCAUCAAAAAGGUGUUCAGAAUUCACUCGCAAGUGUAGUAGCAUGGCCAAAGAGCAGAGGGCAAAGUUUUACAUCGUAAAACGCUGCAUUACGAUGCUCCUCCGUUGGAACAAGAAUGGAGAUUCAUGAAAACAAACUGAUUGAGAUAAAUGUGAUCUUGGGUUCAUUUAUAUGUAACCUAAACAAGUUUUUCAGCCAUCCACAGAAUCAACAUCAUACUAGUAAAUUUUUCCUGCUUGCUUAAUCUAUCUCUUCCUAGAUCAGAGCGCAACUCUAAGUCGGUAAGCAACGAGCAUUCAAAUGUUGCGCAUUGUGGCAAGAUGUAACAUAUUUUGUAGAUUUUGAUUAAACUGAAUUAGCCUUUUUAUUCCGUGUCACAUGGUAUGUCCGGCAUCUUUUUUCCUAGUUUUUAAUAGAAAAUUGCGUUAAUCAUCAAUACGCAUUUUUAGUAGCAUAUAUCUUAGUGAAAAAAGAUUCCCCUACAGCAGUUGGAGCUAGCAAUCAUAGGACGGUAUAAAUUAUAUACCUGGGGACUCCGCAAUGCGUGCUCCUUCCAGAAAGGUCAGACUGGGGAUCUGCAAUGUGAUACCACCAGAGCAUGUGAUGACGAAAAUGAAAACUUGGUUAUUGUAUUUUAGUACUAUAAUAUAGCCCCUCAGUUUUUGCAGUACGAGUUUUGGAAACUAGCAUGUAUGGUGCAUGGUGUUGUGCGGAGAACUCAUGAAGAGAUGACUAGUGGCUAUUUAGAGUAUUUUUGGGACAUAAUUUCUCAAUUUUCGAUGCCUGGCAUCUUUACAGUGCAUAAAUUUCAUAAUCCUUGACCAUCAAUCCCACCAUUGUAAUAUUAAUUUAGGUUCACACUAAGUUUGACAGAGCUCCCUCCUCUCCUUUCCGGGUAUUCAGAGGCAGGUAACCUGAUAGAAUGGGUUGAAAGUUGUACCGAGAACUUUAGGGAAACCUCAAUUAGCCUGCAAACCAAAGAAUUUCAUUAUCAACUCCUCCCUUUGAUUAUCGAUAAAGCUAAUCACUACUUACCAGCUCUUAUUGGUUUAUUAGUCACCCCUCAGUAGUUUAUGAAACAAAGCCUUUUGAGGAUAUCACAUUUUCUUAUUAAAUCCAAUCAAUUCCCAAAUUGUGGACAGACAAAUGCGCUAGGCAGGAAAACUCACUUCAUCCCAACCUGAGACUUCUUUUUUGAUCAGUGAAGUGCCAAAAUUUAGCUUCUUGUUAUUAAUAAGCUGUAAUUAAUUGCAGCAUUGCAGCCAGAAGAUGCUUUGACAGAACUUGAAGAAAUUGGUACAUCUCAUCUUGUGCCCUCCAAUUCUUUUCUCUUUUAUUAUCUUCAUUUCUUUACACAUCCCAAAUGGUAGGUAAGUACCCCAAUUGUAUAUAUACACACAACAAACUUGCAUACAGGUAUACAUGAAAACUAACAUGAAGGACAUAAGACUGAAUAUAGAUAUAGCAGCAAAAAACUGGAAAAACUCUAUCCUUGGAUCUCUUAAUUGCACGGUGCCUGAAUGUGCAGUCGCCCAGCAUUGACACAACAGGCGGGUGCCACCAACUUGGUACUGUACAUAAUGAGCAUUGGACGAGGGACGGUGCAAUAGAGAGUCCUGAGUGGACUUAGGCCUUCUUAUGUAAGGAAUUAAAAGAAGUGGAUGAUCACCUUGACCAAGAGGAAAGAUAAGGCUCCCAGACCAUGGUCUCGACUCCUAUUCAUGUAUUCGCCAUUGUUUAUCAAACCUAAGUCCUUCGAUCAUUUACGCUCGGAUCCAGAAUCUACUAAUUGCAACUACUGAGCUUCAGUUGAAAAUGCUUCCCAAUGAAGUCCUUUUUUUUUUUUGUGACUCUUAUUAACUCACUUUUGUCCUAUAGCCAACAUGUAAUGCAGCAUUAUUCCUGCACCAAAACUAACAACUAUCUUUUCAAGAUUGGUCCACAUGUUGAUAGAUGGAGCUUCAAACUUUAAUUCUGAACGAUACGAACGAAGAUCCGUGAUCAAUUUUCUAGCCACUGUAGUUGGUAAAAUUAACAAGCAUUGCAUCAGAAUCAAACUUGAAGUGCUUAAUGGAACAAAGCUAAGCAUACUUGGAAUGCUAGCACCCUACACCUGGAGAAGAAAUGGAACUAAAAGACAGAAUCACAAAAAAAAAGAAAAGAAAAGAAAAGAAAAAAGUACAAGUUCACUUCAAUCACCUAAGCACUCAUGCCAUCUGAAACAUCACAAUUCACAACUAAAUGGGGAUACAGGAAUCUAGCCAGAUGUUUUGCUGGCAGCAAACUACAAAGGAGUGCAGCUCAAAGGUCAAGACAAGGUCACCAGGAUGAAAACUGUAUUCCAAAUCAAAUGAUGCUACAGAAUCUUAUGUGGCUGUUGAGUGCGAGUUAUGCAGCAACACAACAAAAUAGUGAACUAUCAGAAAGCAACUAAAAACGUACAAUAAAGUAGCAAUCCACAGAAAUAAUAAUAAUUGAGUUACCAACUAGUACAAAAAUACUAAACUGUAUGUUUUUCUUGCUAAAAUGCUUCAUAUUCAUUUUCUUAUUCGUUGUGCCCCGCCCAUCACUCACCCCCAAAAAAACUAGUGCAAAGAUAACAUAGCUUUUGGAUUUUACUAUCAGCACCAUGCCUUCGCUCCUCAACCUUUUUAAUCGAGUUAAUUAGAUUACCACAGGUUCUUGUCAAUUGAUAAAACCACAGCUAAACUUGAACACUAUUUUCUCAAUUGUGAUUGACCAAUUUGCGAUUUACGCCAAAGGACAAUCUCGUUUACAUGCUAGUUAAUUUUCUGUAAAAUUUCAAAUUCCGAUCACUGACUCAAUCGCUUCUGUCCGAUUGUUGCAUGCUUCCUAAUUACGGUGCAGAUUUGUCAUAAAACAAGCUGAUCAUUCUCGCAGCAAACAAUAUGAUGUUUAUCAAUAAGAAUUGCCAAAAAUGGCAAUAAUUCCUGACCACAUGCUAUUAGUCAAGGAAAACAAAGCAUAUUCAGCAUAAUCGAGCUAUUAAUACUAUGGAUUUGUUAUUUAUCCAACUAACGCGACUAGUAAUAGCCCAGAAUCCCAGCACAAAAAUCUGGAGUUUUUUACUAAAAUAACACUCUUUCUAAAAAAUAUUCUCAAUAUGAUUUACUUUCAAACUUUAUUCCCAUAAUGAUGUUAUUAUUGCCACUUUAUUGUCCCGAUUACCGCGUAGGAUAACAAGAAAAGAAAGUUUUGAUCUAGUUUAUAGUUUCCAACAUCAGUUAAAAUUUGUAAUUUUUUUGAAUCAUAGAGACACAAUAAGAUUGCAUAACUUUGAUAAUUUUCUUAUAAUUAUUUAAAAUAAAUUCUACCAUUAUUGACCUCACUAUGAUUGGUCUCUACAUUUUUCUUGAAAUGAAUCAAACCUAUUGCAUAUAUGUUUUCAAAAAUUAAAUUUGAAAAAUUCAAAAAUUGCAACAAAAAUUGUCAGCAAUAACAAGAAAAAGUUACAAAAACUUCAAGGUUAUCAUAUUUGUUUAUAUUAUCCUUCUUACUCUUUGAAAAAAACUUUUACAAGAUGUAAUAAAACUGAAAUUUUCAAGUUUUCAAUUGCAAACUAAAAACUGCUAGAUUAUUUUCUCCUAGACAUUUUAUCAAACACACGGUGUGAGAAAUCAUUUGUUAUACAAUUAAUAUUCAAAAAAUUUUUGAACGCCAUAGCAAUGUUCCAAAAAUUGCACAAUAGAAAAGAAAAGAGAAUAAUCUUUGUUUACCUUGAUAUUAUCAAGAAUGAUAAUGAAUUUUUAUAUACUGUUAAUAUAAAUAUUGACUUCUCAAAAUUAAGUUUGACAAGGAAAUGACAAUGAAAGGAAAAAAUAGAGGAGAGAGAGAAUCAAGAAAGAUAUUAGAUGGAAAAAAGAAAUAGAGUGUACCUCUAUCUCUGUUCUGACACAUGUGCAACCUAUGUGGUAAAAAAAAAGAUUAUAAAGGUAAUAAAUUUUUAAAUUAGAUUACUUUGGGUAUUUUUUAGAAGGAGAGUUAUUUUGGGAAUAAAAUCCAAAAAUCUGCCCCUUGUUCCAGAUUCUGAAGAUAAAACGAUUCAGCAGAAUUAAAAAAAAAAGAAAAAAGACGACCAGAAAGAGAGGAUAAAGAACAUUAGAGAGCUAGCCUGUCAAGUCUAGGGGUGCAAACGAGCCGAGUCGAGCCAAGCUUUGGCCCAGUCAAGCCGAGCCUCCGGUUAAUUUUGUGAAGCUUGAACUCGAGCUCAAGCUCGACGAGCUCAAAAUGUCAAGCUCGAGCUCGAGCUCAAGCUUAAAAAAUAAUAAAAUUAUAAUAAAAUUAUUUUUAAAAAUAAAAAAUAAUUAUUUAUUUUUAAAAAUGAAUAAAAUAAUAAUUUUUUAAUAAAUAAUAAAAAUAUUAGGGAUAUAUGUGUAAUUUUACUAUUAAAAUAAAAAAUAAAAAAUAUAUAUAUAAUUGAGCUCGCGAGCCAACGAACUUAAUGUUUUUUAGCUCGAGUUCGACUUAAACUCGAGCUCGAUAUUGACUGAGCUCGAGUCGAGCUCGUACUCGGCUCGCGAGUGGCUCGAUUCGUGAACACCCCUAGUCAGGUCUGAGCUUCUUCAACUGGCAGAUUUCGCUCGCUGUAAUCAGAGAAAGUCGAGCGACAUAUCCGUAUAAAUUGCGAAAUUACCGAAACAAUUUUUUUUUAAAUCAUUGUAAUGAUUUUUAUACAGGUAAAACUCGCCGGAAAUUAAAUCGUUCAAAAUGUUUUUCACAUUUUAUAAAAUAUUUUUUUAUUCUUUAUUUUUAAAAGUGUAAUUUUACAUCCGUUACAAAUUCACAUUAAUUAAAUUUGCUCCAUAUCUAAAUGUUCGAUUAGUUUUUGGCCGGAAUCCACUACAUGUCAUGCACAUGAUCAUUUUUCAGAAACAAAAUUGUUAAAUCACAUUUCAUAUAAUUUGACCCAUAGUUAUUCACAUUCCACAAAAUGAAUUUUUUUCAUCCCUCACGUCUUCACAAAAUCAAUUAAGAAUAUGAUGUGACAUUACUUUGUUAAAUUUUAUGUUUAUGUCUAAAUCUAAGUUUUUUGCCCUGUUUUUUUUUUUUUUUUGAAGGAAAGUUUUUUGCCCUGUUUAGUGUCGCAACAUUUUUUUAAUACUCCUCUGGAGCACUCUAUAAAGUAAAAUAGUGAGUAAUAUAAUAGUUUUUCUUUUUGUUAUUUAAGAAAACUAAUAGUAUUAGCUAUUUGCUAAUGCGAUUGGAACAUGGAUGAUCAAAAUUCAAAUUAGAAACGUGGUCCGAGUAUAAAUGGGGCUAAAACUGAAAAGAUAAGAGAGACAGAGAGUUAUAUGGUCAAUCAGGAAAUUUAUUAGGCUUCAUAACAUAAAAGAAGAGAAGAGCGGAUCCGUGAGUAUUAUUAAUAUUACAUGACCAUUGGGCCAUUCAGCCGCAAAGAAACAAAAAUGAAAAAAUACACUCAACCAAGAUGAUACAAUGAGAAAUCAACGAACAGCACAAAACCUGAGAAGAUGAAAAUUAAAAAGCAAAAAGGCAAUCCAGUCCCAAUAUCCCAUCCCGCAUCUCCUAAUCUUUGGUCUCUGUGUCUUGAAAAAUUGAAGGUAACAGCCGGGUCCAAUUCGGAAAUUAAUGUAUAAGUUAUGCAUAAUUCCGCCGAAAAAUUAGAGCAGAGGUCAACACUUGGGAAGAUCAGAUGGUGGCGGAGGCAGCUUCUGAUUUGGGAGCUUUCCAUCCAACACAAUCAAUGCCAUCUCCAACCCCCAGCUCAGAUGGACGUCAAAAUGGCAAUGGAAGAACCAAACCCCUGAUCCACACCGUAAAACCACGUUAACAAUUCUAUAUACUAUUAGUUGUUUCAAUUAAGACGUCCUGAGUCGAAAAUAUAAUGAAUGAACUGAGGCAAUAUGGUACACCUUUUCAGUUUGUCAAUAUAGAUAGUAUUUAUGUAAUCUGGUAAGCUAAACUGGUUCGGUGAAAUCUGAUGUAUGUACUUUAGAACACACUCACCCGGGUUGUCUGCUAGGAACCGAACUGCCACCCAUCCAUUGGGUGGUACAGCAACUGUAUUUCUUUCGACGGGAUCAACAAGGUUAUAUUUUGCAGGAUCAUUUUUAGGGUCAAAGUUUCCAAAACCUUGCCCCACAACGUAGAAGUUAUAGCCAUGAAUGUGAAGAGGGUGACUUUCAGCACCAAGAAUGCUGGUGCCCUGCAACACAACUUCAAUUGAGCUGUUAAAUUUAACGACCACCGCCUUAGUGCCAUUAACCACAAAGGUGCUGUUGGGUGGGGUUCCCGUGUAGUUGAACGGCUUAAGGGGAACACUUGGGAAAUCGGUGGUGUAUACACCGUUGGAUUUCCCAAAGAAGUAGGACUGAAGAAGGGCUGUUGUAGGGAGGUUGAAAGAAAUGUUGUUCAUGGAAGCUGCAAAUUUACUUCCAUUAGGCCCUUGACAGGUUUGAUUUUUGGACACGGCUUGCUUCCCAGGCCAACGGUAAAGAAGAAAUGCUUGUCCACUGUCUUGGGCACGUUAGCUGGAAAUUGGGCAUUGGCUAAACUGCGGAAUUUUCUGGUGAAAUUUGCGAAAAAUGAGGUUCCAUUGAUUGGAGGAAGGGUGGGGAGGAGGCUUGUAAUUGAAGUGUUGGUGAAAGAGGAACCAGAAACAGACCCGGUUGGAUUUCCGUAUUCAAGAAUUCCAGCAAUAGUGGAAUUAUCAAUGGUGCCUUGGCCUGUGAAAUACGGCCUGGCUGCCAUGAAAUAAGUGGAAUUAGCCAAAUGAUGUUUGGCCUCGAGGAGAACAUUGGUGGUUUGUCCUGGAGCAAUGAGGAGAAUGUCUGUUCUAAAUGGCUUAACAUAAGUUGCAUCUGUUUCAACAACGGUGAGUGUAUGGUUGGCUAUGCUGAAAAACAGAUCGUCAUUGAGCGCAGCAUUGAUCAGACGAAGGAGAUAUGUUUUUCCAGGCUUAACUUUCAGCUUAAAUGUUUCUGCAAUAGCAAAAAAGGCUCCGUUAAAUCAUAAAUGGUGCUUAUAGUUCAAUUUUGAAACAAUUUCGAAACCAUUUUUACUACCGUUGGCAGAACAAUUGUACAGGGGUCCAGGGAGUCCAUUUAUGGUGUAUGAAUCUGAGACGUUUGGUCCAGCUCCAGUCUGAAGUGCCUGGUUAAUAACAGCCACAGGGUCUGCAUUCCACCACUCUCCUGUGUUUUGAUUCAUCAAAAAAUUAGUAAAGGACUACCACAUUAUUGUGCAUAAGUCUGCUGUGGGAAUUGAAUUUUGGAAGUUUACCGAAAAGUAUAGGGACUUCUUUAUGGGGCUUGGGAAAUGGAUAAGGAACAUUAUUCUUUGGGAGGAUGAUGAAGGGUCCAUAGACACUGGCUCUCAACCAUGUAAUAUGGGCAUGCCACCACAGGGUUCCUCUUUGGCCAGUGAUGGUGAAGUUGUACAGAUAACUCUGGCCUGUUUGAAUCGGACAUUGAGUUAUGUAGGAGGGGCCAUCUGCCCAUCCACUCUGCAGUUGCCUGACUCCAUGCCUGUUAAAAUCAACCACAUAGUUAGCCUAGUUUUUUUGGUAACAAAGAGGUAGGUAAUGGUAAAAUGGCACUUACCAAUGAAUGCUAAUAUUGUUGGAAACAUGGUUGACCACCUUGACUUGCACGUUGUCACCCUCUCUUGCAACAAUGCGAGGGCCAGGGAACUUUCCGUUUACUGUCACCACGCUCUUUGUGUGGCACAGUCUUGUGACGUUUUGCAACCUUAUCUGCAUAGCAACAAAAAAAUGUAAAAUGCGAACUACUCUAUCUUACGUUAAUGUUGUGCGAAGUCUAUAUGAUCUAGGAUAUGUAUAAAAGAAGAGAAAGAUGUACCUCAAACGUGUAAUGCUUUGUGAUCCCUGCUGCACUGGCUGGAAUUGCCAACAACACAAGGCAGCUCAUGACAAAAGAAACACUAGCGAGGAAGCAUGUUGGUGAUAACAAUGAAUAAAGAGAGACAGCCAUGGUUGAUUAAUUUUGCUGCUGUUCUUGAUUAAUCUUGUUAAAAUGGACCAAAUGGAGGGAGAAUGUUUUCGAUUGGCUCGUUUGAUUGUGGAAUGUUCCGACAGGAAGGGCUAGUUAUAUAUACGUUGGAGGGACGUGUUUGUUCGGUUGAUUAGGUAAACUAAGACGUCUCAAUUUCCUCACAAAGAAGAGCUAGCUUCUUCCUUCUUCUUUGGUUGAAUGAAUACUCUCCAAAAACGGUAUUGUAUCUGAAAAAAAAAAGAUGAGAAAUUUUUUAAAACUGGAAUGCACCAGCUGUUAAUGGUCCAUCUGAACUGUCGAGUGUGGCCAAAGUCAAAUGAUCUGAAUCCGAAAUUGAUAAGACCUCAGUUGCUGAUGCUAGCUACCUAGUGUCGUUAAGCCUCCAUCUACUUGAUCAAACUCGAACAUUUAGGUAGCAAUAACCAUAGCAAUGUGCCACCAGUUGUGUGUUUAAUUAGUUUCUUGUUGAAAAUGGUAAUCAUGCCCCUCUUAGCCUACGUAACCACUGCAGGGAAAAAAACUUCAACCGUUAAUCUUGCUGGUUAAGACAAAUCCAGAAUUACCGUCCCAGAUAUCUUGUUUACAAUUCAAGUCUUGUUCAUGGCCAUGCUAAUCAUUCUCGUGUAGAACCCGCAGGCAUGCGCCAGUAGGUUAGUGAUGGCUACUCCUCCAAAACGAUCAGGAUGACGCAGAGAAGAGGACAUUUGACCCAACUUCCUAUUUUUUGAAGAAUAAGUUGGUUCGUUCGAUCCUUCCUUCGUUAUGCUUUGUGUUACAUUUAGUCAUGUUUUGUGUUAACAGACUAAUUACAAGAUUUGCCCGAAAAGCUAGCUCGGUUGGUCUGGGGGCAGACUUUGACCAGACCUAAUUCUCUCAUCUUCAUUAGUUUCACCAAAUGGUGAGUUCUGAUCCAUCAACUUGCUAUUUUAUUUAUUAAUUUACACUAUAGUUACCGCGCUUUUACAUGCUUUCUAUUGCACGCAAAGUAAGUUUUUUUUUUUUUUGUGUGUAUAUAUAUAUAUUAUAAAGAUGUUUAUCAACUAAAUAUAGGAUCACAAAUUGCUAAGUGUAUAAAUUAUUAAGAAUAUUGUAGUAUCAUAGGCGACACUCUGUAAUUUUGAGACAUAUAUAAAAUACUCUUAAUCACUACUUUGCAUUGUUUGAGAUUUUAAAGAUUCGUGAAAAAAUUUUUGAGAACACUAGCGACUAGAAAAGUAGUCCGUAAGCGCGUGCAACAUUUUUAUAUUUUCAAAUUGUCAAUUGAUGUAUUUUUACAUUUUAGCAUGAUCAAAAUGAAGAAGAUUUGACCACCAGCUCUUGGGCUGGUGGCCACCACCAAGCCCUUAAGGCUUUGGUGCCCACCAAAAUGCCACUCUUGUGGCUCUGCUUCAAAUCCAGAUGGGUGUGUAGUGCACCCGUCUGGUCCGGUGGUGGUUCUGUCCCCAUCGGUCCCCUUAGGCUCAGUUGAGCCUCCCCCGUAGAUAGAGUAGGAGUAGGAGUAAGGAUGAUAAUUGACAAAAAAAAAAAAAAAAAUGAAGAAGAUUUGACGAGUUGGGUGAUUCUAAAUUCGAGCCCUCUCACACUUACAUUAAUAAAAAAAAAUCAAGAUUUGUCUAACAAAAAAUGUAAAUCCAUGGUUCUUGGAAUUCGGUAAACCUUCUCCCUCCCAAUCCAUGGUUAUCAUUCACAAGAGGUUAAAAGAAAAACAUUUAGAUGAACGCUCCCCUUUGGAUUGCUAUUUUGUAAAAAAAUUUUAUAAAAAAAAAUGUAUUGUAGUGAUUUAAUGUACGUGUGAAGAACAGUAGCCAAGACAGGAUGAGUGGCCGGCCGGUGCUUUAAAAGCGAAGACAUGUCCACGCCAAAUUGCUAAGCCUUGCAAGAUUUCAGGGCGACAAAGAUACGUGCUGGGGUCGGGUUGGCUGUAACAUCUCCCCGAUCGACUAUUUGGAGAUUUUAAAAUUCCAUGAAGAAGACGACUCUUUACCCACCUAAUUUCUUUCAAGUAAGAGAAGGGAUGGAAUUGUACUCAAUUUUCAUUAGUAUUUUUUACGGUGAAGUUGUUAGUUAGUUACAGCAUCUUAAUAUAUGAUUGACCAAGACCAGAAUUAGCCCACAUGCACACAUGAUUACUUAUUCAUUCUUUUUCCUUUUUUUUUUUUUGGGGGUUUUGAAGACUGAAUGGUUCUUUUCUUGUGUGGCCACUGAGAGUGUCAAGUUAAGAGGGAGAGAAAGACUAGUUUUGUAGUUUUUUUUUUUUUUUUUUUUUUUUGGGGUCGACUAGUUUUGUAGUUGCAACAACUAUCCACCUUCUGGAGCACUCCAGGGUCAGAAACUUACAAAUAUAUUUGUGCCUUUCAUGUACAAGUAGAUGUAUAUAUGGUAGUAUAUCAAGUAGAUGAAUAUCAAGUCGCUUUUUGCUCCGUUAAGCUAUUUGAAGAAUACUCGAAGCAAUGAAUGGCCAGUACAAAAUCAAACUGUGCAUGUAGAAACUUUUUUUUUUUUUUUUUUGGGUAUGGAAGUAGACUUUCUACAGCUUAUUGCAUUGCUUUACAACCACCAAUUUAACGUCCAGGCAAAGAACCAUUGCAGUUAAUGCAUGUCCAAUUGUUCGUGAACAGUUAAGUAGCUGCAUCUGCUAUGUUUACAUUUAGCAACUGAUGAAAUUACACUCCCAAAUUUACAAGGAAAAUACAUCUUUGAAAGCAAUACAAUGUUGAUUUACAAGGUAAUUUUUCCGUGCUGAUUAUUUUUCUCGGUAAUGGAACAGUAACUAACUAAUCCCAUAUCAUAACAACAGCUAUGACUCCCACACCUAAAAGCACGGCAAGAAGCUUGAAAAAUGGAGUGUCAAAGUAGAGUUUAGCAUGUGGCUUGAAGCCUUUGGUGACGAGAUGAUUGAUGGCAACAUAGAUGAAAACGCCAGAGGCGAUUCCCAUGGAGAUGGCAAAAAUCCAAUCUGCCGUGCGCCCUUGGGUAGUGGCGUCGAUGGCAAUGCCUAUGCCCACCCAAUUGGGCUCGACACAGCAAAGGCAAAUGAAUAAGCAACUGUCGUCAAAAAUGGCCUCUUUGGUAUCAUCCUUAGAAGGGCAAUCCCCAUUGCAAUUGCUGCAAAUAUCUUGUGCAGUGAAAUUGUCCACAGGUUCUUCCAUGCAUCUGACUUGGUAGCUGAGCCAAUGUUUCACGAAGGGUCUCUUUUAGUUUUAAAUUCUCAUGAAAUUGAUAGUUAAUGGUGUAUGAUUUGAGCCCUAAUGAACUUUAUGCUGAAAGUGCAAUAUAAUAAUUGGCUAACAAGGUUGGGAAAAAAAAAAAAGAGGAGUUGAGGCAUUGCACCCUUAUAUACAUCUUGUGAUAUAGAGAAAGGAUCUGAUCAACAGAGCAUAACAUGCACUUCUCGGAAUAGCGAGCAAAAAUUCGAUGAUGAUCAGGUUAGAGUAAUCACGCAUAUUAACAUUUAACAAAUAGAUAAUUGAGAUUUGAUGCCAUGCAACUUUAAGUCAUGCUAGUAAAGAUCAGCUGGCUAGAAGUGCACAGAAAUGGUAGAAGAUUAUGUUAUAGAUGUUACGCGUGAUUCUAGAACACAAAUAAAGUUUGCCAAGUGCAGAAGUUUCGACGAUUAACAAUAAUAUUACGUAUCUCUAACUUGUUUCAAAUGUGUAAAUAUUGUUGCUUACCGCUACUCCAACAGCAAUCCCCUCGAAAACUGAGUGGAAACACAGAGCUAGGAUGAGAAGUAUGGUAUCCCCAACUGACGACGUUUUCACAGAACUGGGUUGUGAUGCAUUCCCUCUUCUUCACCGUAUCCCCAGAUGCUGCCCUGCCUUCUUCAACUUCGACUCUAUUAUCUUUCUCAGCACCCUUUGUGACCAAGAUCACUAUGCAAUCACCAAACAUGGUCAGAAGAUAGCCCGCGGAUGCCAACAUGAAAGAAAAUGGAUAAGAUUUUGUUGUUAGAUCAGCAAAAGUCGAGGUUGAGUCGCUCAGGAAGUGCAUAAGAGAAGUUCCAGAAACACCCCUCCAGCAAAUUGAGUUCCAUAAGUAGGAAGCUUUCGUUCCAUCGGAAAAAAUAAGGGGAGACUCCACCAGCAAAUGUGCUAGCAAAGAAAAUGAUCAAACACAGAUUUUGACGAGAAUUAGCCCUUUUGAGUGCAGAUCUGUGUUGUCACCAUCACUACUGCUUUCUUGAUCAUCGCCGCCAUGAGCACCAAUCCUGAAGCAUUGGAGGAUAAAACUGAAAGGAGAAGUAUGAUCAAGAAAGUUGACUUGGGCAGCCGGUCCACGGGAGAAGCCAUGUACGACAAAGAAGCUCUCGAGGAAAUUAACUUUGUUGUUUAAACAAUUAACAUUUUCGUCGUACGCUUUAUAAUGUAUAGGAGUGUACUUCAUGAAGAUUAAGCUUCAGGAUCAAUGACAACAAGACUCUGUUGCUAAAAUUUUGUAGUACAGCUUUGACUUUUACAAGGUUGUACUACACAUCCUGGACUUCAUAAUUUCUACUGGCCGGCUAUCAUUUGUGCGUUGACAAACAAUUCAGGCCAUUUCACGUACAAUAGGAUACAACGUAUAGUACAGAAUAUUACAGAGAGCCUGUGGCGAGCAGGGACUACAAGAAAAAAGAGUUUCAGUUGUUUUCGUGCACAGUGGACAUGAGAUAGAGCAUGGAUGUCUCAAAAAGCUCAAAGGGUUUUUGAUUUAAUACAGGGAAACAAGAAAUGUCUUGUGUUUUCACAAUGAUCGUUGGGUAGAACCGAGAUGGUUUGGCCGAAAAUCCUGUGGUGGAACGCUUUCACAGAAAGAUGAUGUGCAAAUUUGUUUCAGUGAUGCAUGGAAUUGAAAUUUGUUGUCAAUCUAUCUAUUUUGAAGGGAAAAAGUACAAAUUGUAUUCGAGUCAUUCAAACGCAAAAAAUCUUUUCUAGACGAUUUGGUAGCCAAGGUUAGGAUAACUAGUCCUUGCAACUCGACCACCUUCUUUAAUCUAAACAAAUCGCCUUGUGUCCUAGUACAAGAAGCCCAUAAACAAUACUGACAUUCAGCACAAAUAAAAGAAGCCCAUAACAGUUUUUCCAUGAAUUGGCCGACACCCCUAGCUUUUGUCGCGCGGCCGCUUGGUGAAUUAGCAAGAAUCACGGCUUAGCGACUAAAUUCUCUGUUCAUGAUGGAUUGACUUGUUAGAUUUGCAGGCAACAUGACAAGGUCGUGUAACAGAAAAUCCUUUGUUGUUUUGGAAAUGGGAAUGAACCUAUUGGUUAUUCUACUUCAGAUAAAUGCAGAUCGAGCCAGCCAACAUUUACAUACAAUUCUAACAUUUCUUCAGCUAAUAACUGCAGACCACUUCUUAUAGUAAUAGCAUUAAACUAUAUCCAUGGUUGGGAGUACAGAACAGAUGUAUACAUUCGGCUUGUGUUUUUACAUAAGCCAUACAUCGUCCAGAAUAAGGUGCAUUAAAGUAGCACUGUUUAUUGCAUAGAGUUUGCAGCAUGCAAAAGUCUCUUGAAAGACUCAAGCAUCCAUGCUCACGCAUUGCAUUCACCCAGCCUCGUAGAUCUGCUGGAAAUCUACAAACUGGGCAUGCAACUCGUUUUCCCACACCGGCAUAGAUGCACUCCAGAUGAAACUGUAACAGAGGACAGCCAAACAUGUCUGUGUGAGACUUAAAAUGCAUCUAACAUACAACUUUCAACUUCACAACUAUAAAAAUCUAAGACGAGCUGAGAUUAUUGUUAAAUCUCUCCGGCUUCUCCUUAAUCGCUCCGAUUCAAUAUUUAUUAAAUCCAUGCAUCAAAAGAAAGCUUAAUUUCAUCCCCAUGCUCUAAAAAUUACAGCAGCUGCUUUUCAGAUGACCACCAAGAAUGCAUACCAUCUUGAGUGGAUGCACGUUAGUAUUUGUUACCAUUGUUAUAUCCAAAUACAGAUCAAACAUCAAGCUUUGAUGUGGUCGAGUUGAUUUAUAGGGCAUGGAUUUCAGAUAGAGAUUAUGGUCUAGUGAGGGAAUUGAGUAGAACAGGAAAAACACUGAGUUUAAAUUUUGAUCCAGAAGGGGCAGAAGCCCGAUGCAAACAUGGUGAGGUAAGAAGAGGCACUCCAGCACCAAGUCGACCUGUGCACAUGCCACAUAGCAAUUCCACCUCCAGAGCUUCAAUGUACAUGUCUACAGUAUUCUUGCUGGCAACUAACUUGUUAAAUGGACAAAACAGAACCAACGGAUGCAUUUUGAUAUAUUACAGGCACCACCCAAUGAUACAGAUAAAAGAAUCAUGUAUUCAGGAAGAAUUAGCUGUCGAUGAUGAUACUGCAACAGCAGGAAGCACACUUUUGAAUAACAUAUGCUGCAUAAAGUUAAAAUUUGCAUUCAUUGGAUAAAACAGGUUACUGCAUCUUGAUUUGGAAAGUGUGCUCGAAGGGCGUAUUUUAGUCUAAAAUAUUUCAUAGAAUAGCCUCAUCUAAGCCUUCAAUCGAAAUUGAGCUGAAAGGUUCAAGACCAGAUUAAUGCCAAAAGAACACUGACUUGGUUUCUGGAUAUCAGCUUGAUUUGCAUUUCAUGUUAAAAACCAACAUGUGACCCCAGAACAGGACAUUAUCCAAACGGACGAGAAAGCAACGCAUAUUAUUGAUCUGGGUAUUUUUAUUAUUUCGAAGAACAGAAAGCAAUACUAAAAGUCCUAAAGUAACAAGACAAAGCAAAGAGAGCCGAACACAUGCAGAGGGAGUGAGAAACUUAACAUAUGAAGUUUGUAGAUAGCAGCAAGUUCAUCAACUAUAGGAAGCUCCUUAUGGGUAUCUCAACCUUCCCCUCUUUUCUGUCUACAUAUCCUAGACUUUUUCUUUAAAUUUUCUAUGAAAGCAAACAACCAAGAAUAACUCAAUACUGUGACUUCCAGCAAUUGAAAAUUAUUAGAUAACAAACAUAACAGUCCUGGAGUUUAUAGACAAAAUGCAGUUAGAGUGCCUUAUCUUGCAAGAGUACAUAAUAACCCCAUUGGUGGCCUCUAUUUUUCCACUAUCUGAUAUCAAACAACUAGACUAAAAUAGAAUAACAAUAAUAGUAAUAAUAAUAAUAAUAAUAAUAGCCAGAGCAUUUUUCUGUGUUAAGUUAGCAAUGUUAAGCAGCUUAAAGUGGCAUUAUCAUUUAAGCAAGACUUUAAAUGAUUUUUAUUCACUUUAAGCAUAUCAGAGUGGCCUUAUCACAAGUAAUGAUUUUUAUUCACUUUAAGCAUAUCAGAGUGGCCUUAUCACAAGUAAAUGAUAUGCUUAAAUGACAAUGCCACUGUGAUAUCAGAGUGGCAUUAUCACAAGACUUGCUUAAUGUGAAUAUCAGGGUGGCAUUAUCAUUUAAUGAUAUUUAUUGGAAAGGUUUAAUAUUCUUUUUUCUUUUUUAACUAUUCUUUUAAGAUUUUAUAGCAUUCCUUUCUGUCAAAUGCAUUAUCCAACCAAAAUCAAUGAUCUACCAAUGAAAAUUCAACUGUCUAUGGCUAGAUAUACAUAUGCUAAGACAAAUUAAGACAACCUAGUUUUCUUCCGGAUUAGAUACUAAAACACCUCAGAACCUUUUGCUUGUUUAUCCCUAAUGAAGUAGAUGGAUCAGAUCAAUAAAUCAACCAACCAACAUAAGAUUACUAUGUAACAUGACAACUGAACUUAGACAAAAGCAAGCAGAGAUAAAGAAAGCUUUUCAUACCAAUUCCAGAUAUGAUGCAGCCAGGGAAGAUUUGACACCAACAACCACAAAAGAAAUGUAGUGAAAGAGAGAGACACGCACACACAAAAAGGUGUCAGUUAUAUUGUGGCGCUCUCAUUUGUCUGAACCUAAAAGCUUUUACUACUAGUUUUGUGUCAAUGUGAGGCAAGUAGUGGCUGACAUGUAACCUUCGCCUUAACUCUGGCACUGCCACAACCAUUUCCAGCAUGCAAUACAUGUUUCAGAUUCAGGAAUCUUUGCAAUAGAACCUAUCAAUUUCACUAUAUUCACUGUGAUCUUAUUCUUGAACAAUAACCUGAAGGCCCUCUUUUUCCGUUUGCUUUUCCUGUUGUAACUGAGAGGAGAGAUUUUUUACCACAUAUGAUCCAUUUAAUUUUGAUUCAGAUUUGUACAACAAAAUACAGUAAAGGAGUCAAUUUAAAACAAAAGUUAGACAUAUACACAGCAUUACUAAAAAGGUUGCAGGUAGGCACUCGAGUCAUUCCAAGGGCUCAUGAAUUAGGCAUUUCCAAGCCAAAUACUCCCCAGCAAACAGCAGUUUUUGUGAUUUCACAUGUCUUGAGUUCAAGUGCAAGGAAAACACUACUUCACAGAAGAAGCAAAGGCCAGGCAAUAAAAUGCAUGCGGCUCCCUAUGCUUAAAGCAUCCAUGUAGCAGGAUUUCCACCGUUAGAUUGUAUUUCUCCUUGAGUUACAUCCACAUAAGGCAGAUAUGGGCUGCUGUCAAGGCAAAUUAUGGUACAUGCCUCGAGUGCGAUUAGAAGGCCAAGUUUUUAAAGCAAACACCUUAAGAAAGAGCAACGCCCCAGUCAAAAAUGCAUAUUUACUAUGCCAGAAAAUAGGUACAUAAAUAUAACAAAGUGACCAGGCUACAUAUCACAUACAAAAACCAUCAUAUAUGUUUCCGGUACCACUUACACAUGCACAAGUUCACAGCAUGACUUUCCAUGACAUUGUAUUACAAUAGAAUUUAUUCAUGGGCAAAUAUGUGGUCAUUAUUGUCUUUUUCUCAACUGUCUAACUUUUGAGCCCCAUUUUUAACAGUUUUGAAUAUGAAUUCCAAAAGAUCCAAGUAUAACAGGUCUUACAACUCAGUAAGUUUUUACCUCUCAAUAACUUUGCAGACCUCAUAAAUUCACAAUGAACAGCUCCGUCAAGAAAAUUAAUUCCCUCACUAGGUGAAUGGAUUAGAAGAACUGGAGAAAAAUUUUUAACUUUACCAUCUCAUGUAUGUACGUAAUAUGCCGUGUCUCUAAAUAUUUUCGUUUUAUGGAGUAAGCGGCAACAAGCCCGCCUUUCUUUUGAAUAGUCUACUAGGUCAGCUACUUUCUAGUGUCAGUCAAAUUUAACCAAAAAAAUAAAGGCAAACCAAAACUAGCAUAUACAGAUGCAGAUUUGGAUUCUACUCGUUUUCUUUCUAAGAACUAUAAAAACAGUGAGACUGAAUCAUCUUACACUCAAGCCAGAUCACAAAGACACACAAGUCUAAAACAACAGCACAAGUAAAAAAGUUGUUUAGAUACCACCAUUGCAGGAAUUAAGAAUACAUGGAACCAUAAAGGCAAAACUCCCAUAUUAACUAGCGAGGAGAACACAUAGAGCCUCUGAUCAUUCUUUUGAUGCUUACUGCAAACCUAAUUUGCAGUCUUUAACUGUUUUUAAUUUCCUGACUGAUCGAUCUACAUACUAAACAACUCCAAAUCUCCAACAGCUGUACAACAAUGAAGCAUUAACACAACCUAGAAGAGAAUAAGAUCCAUUUAAAUCCUUGGGACCCAAUUAGAUAUUCAUCUUAAACAACAUAGGUAGAUUUUUUAGAUGUAGGGACAUAACUUCCUGAGACACCACAUAACUGUCAUACCAAAGUAUUAUCUACUCUCCAAAUCUUAAAUACAUCUUAUGACUUUCUUAUCAAAAUAAGAACAACACUAACAAUUUUGUCUACUUGCCUCCACCCUCUUUAUUUGAUUGUUUGAAGGUCAGAUUCACAGCAGCCCCCAUCAAAAGAAAGAAAGGAAAUGGAGGAUUAGAUGGUAGCAAAGCAAAUCCGAAGUUCACAUUCAUCCUUGCAGGACUCAGAAAAAUUAACUGGAUCUUAAGAUAGAGUCUCUAACUUAGUGGUUAAGAUAAUAAUCUAAGCCCUUUUCAAGUGUGUGAAGCAUGAAAAUACAUCUCAGAGUUAAACAAACAAGAUGUCUGUUAACGGACAGGAAGAAUUAAGUGGCUUAUCACAUUAAGCUGUCAUAACAGAUACUGUAAUUACAAAACUUUAGCCUGCAAGUUACAUCAGCAAAAGCCAAUAAUCCACAUUGUGUAACUCCUUUUAACUAGAGUCUUCUCAAACCAAUAAUAACUUAAACCAGUUAUGUCCUUUGACCACCAUGAUGGACCACAUAUAUAUACCUUGUCAUGUAAGGAAACAAUUGCAUGUAACAUUUUACAUUUUUCAGUUCAUCCCACUUCAUCAGCAUGGUUUUAUCAAUCAUCUGCUGCAUUUCUUGAAAAAGCCAUCAUUGAUUUCCUCAAAGUGAGCAAACAGGCAAGGGAUGUAGCUGAAGGAAUACGUCUUGUCCAUCUAAAGAAACUACUGCUGGUGCUGCCAUUUUUGCUUGCACGUUUCAAUAUCUUAACAUUAAUUCUAAUCCAGAAUGCAUUGUUUCUGAACAAUCACAUUUACCAAAAAUUCAAGCUGACUAGGUUUUGCUUAAACAUGAAUUAAACAUUUGAUGUACCAUCAACAAUAUCAGCACAACAAAAAAAAGGAAAAAAAAUUUUGCCAGCCAGAUAUGGCUCAAGUAACCAGUCUGGACCCAGCAUAUGUCAAAUGAUACCCUGGUGAAAAAAGCUUAUGUCUGUUUAGGUUUUCUUAACCUAAAAAAAAAUAGAACACAACAGUUUUCAUAUUACCCAAUCAAGAUCACCUGAUCUGAGAGAUGCUGAUUCUCACCAUUUAACCGAUUCACUCCUAUGCUAUGUGCAAAGCCACUUCACUCGUCUAUCAGAGAGCAGGGCCAGCCAUUCUGCUCAUGGAAGAGCCUCCUAAUUUAUGUUCCCUUUGUCAAUUUCUGCCCAAUAAUGGAUAAGAUUAACCAUUUAUAUGAAUUGCUUUUAUCUUGUUAUAACUUCCAAUAGCAAUAAUAUGCGAUCCAGUAAUUAACCUGCUUAAUCUAUAGAAAGAGAGGCAUAGAAAGGAAAAAGAAUUAUCGCUUGGUAGAAUAUUUUGUCCAAAUACAUUUUUCCAUCAUGGAAAAUCCUAUGUAAGAAUCUCAACCUAUCGUUCCCUAUAUCAUUGCGGAAAACUUACAAGUGGUAAUGAAUACAACACAACAGGAGAAAGAAAACUGAUAGUAUCAAUGACUCUAACUGAAUCCCCAAUUAUUUGUCAACUGAAUGGGCACAUAAAGGGGACGCUAAAAAAACUCUAGAUACAGCAAAGAAUUGGGAAUAGGCAUCAAACCACCUUUAAAAAAAAAAAAAAAAAGGCAUCCACACAGUGCUGAUAUUAAAUAGGCCUUUUGCGUACUCAAAGCAAAUCCCAGUUGAAUCUAGGUUGAGCUGAACCCAAGGUACUUGUUGAAGCUUUGGAUCCAGGAGGCACUGGUGCGGGAAUGGAAUCAAAAGUUUCCCAUUGAGUGGUGAUCAGAACAUGGCUCGAAGCUGAGUGCCUUGAUGGUUGCAGUUGUUGCUGCGGCUGCAUUGGGACCCAAAGGAAUGCCUACCCUGCUGUUGUUCAACUGAGGAUGAUAGAUGAUCACGAGAAAACCUCUGUUGCUGCUGUUGGACAGGCGAAGACAGCUGUUGGGUUGGUGAUGACAGCUGCUGCAUGGGGAUGUGAUUUCCCAGGCUUGCAGCAUUGCCAUUACUGAUUGGAGCUAGUUUUUUACCUUCAACAUAUCCAGAGUCUCAACGUACUUCUGUACUCGUCUCACCUUCAAAAUCAGAAAUUUUACAUUUGUCCAUGCCCUAGACUAGAAUAAUCAAAGUCCUUUGUACAAAACUAGAACGAAGUUCAGUUAUACCUGCAUUUUCCUCUGCAGUUUGACAUCCCCAUCCGCAAUAAUUCCAUCUAACUUAAGAAGUUGAUUCAUCAAUAGCUCGAUCAGAUUUAAUACAUCCUUUUCCGCAACUUUUCCACCUCUAGAAAUUACAGAUUCAAGCGCUGACACCUAAACAAAAUGAGUUGACUAUAUUCAGUAAUUACUAAUUGCGGGUCUGCUAAUAACAAUCAUGAAAGUCUACGUCUUUGGACAGCUUAGCAAGAACCAAAAAGAGAGAGAAGGGGGGAAAAGAAGAGGAGAAGAAGAAGAAGAAGAAGGAAGGAAGGACUUACCAAGACCUGCACUUUAUGAUACGUAACAGGAAUUAGCAAAAACGAAGAAAGGGACUAAAUAAAUUACCUGUCCAGCUAGCCUAUCAACCUCCAAACUGAUCUCUGAUAUAGAUUUAGCGGCCUUCUCCAUUUUAGCAGUCUUUCUCAUCUCAAGGUACUCCUCUCUUGGCUAAUUGGGUCCUCCACCAGCACAAUUUUGGAUUUAUCUUUCACACCCGAAGUAUCAAGAAAAGCAUUUGAGUCCCUCUCUUUAUCCUUGAACAACAAUUUCUGAUCUUGAUGGUGCAAUCCAGUAGGCCCAGAUAACAUCUUCUUCAACUCCCCUUUUCAGCUCCCCAAAAAUAGAACCAACUCAUCAAAAUCAAAGAAGAAAAAAGGGCGGACAUAAAAUUGAAAACUUCACGAAAAUUGUUUGACUUACCGAAGCUUGAUUGUGAGUUAAUAUUUAUCUCAUGGUAAACAGAGCCAUACUUGACCCUAACCCGGAUAGUAGGAGGAGGAGGUCGAUAUUGAUCCGAAUCAGUUCGCAUCUGAACCAGCAUUCCACCAGGCCUCAUCUCCCAAUUCCCAUCAACUCCUCCUCCUCCUCCUCCAGUUCCGCCGGCGCCGUUUGCGGCCGUACUAUCUGUCGGUGGGAUUCCCAAUCCCAUUCCCAUAGUUUUAGUUCUCAUCCGCAUCAUAUCUACUCCAACAAAAAAAGCACCCACUCACUACAACACAAAAAAUGGAUGCCUGACGAGUAACCAGCACAAAUCAGAUCAAACUAGCAUUAUUCUUUAAAAAAAAAAACAUGUCAGCAUUACACAAGGAAGAGAAAAAGCAAAGACUCACUGGUUUGGGUUUGAGCUGAGAAUUGCUGGGAAAAAGAUUUGACUUUUGUCGGUGGGAUUUUAGUUUCUGUGCUGGCUGUUGAAAGUAUGAAGAAGGAGAGAUCUUUACUUUGUUGCUAGUAGCUGAAAAAUACGAUACCUGCCCAAAUUUUCUUAGGCAGUACAAACCUUGAACCACCGAUUGUUCCGUCCGACGAUAAAAAAUCAAAUAUAUGCUUUCAAAAUGUAUAAAGGAAAAAUUAAAUUGUGAAGAAUAAUCAAACUACUGAACGACAAGCGAUUGUUUCUUUUUUCUUUCUAUUUUCGAGCGAAUGAGUAAUUGCCUUGGAAGGAAGGGUCCGAGAAGGGGGAGGACCGGAGAGGGAAAAGUAUAAAUGGAGAGUUAUAUUUAUAGGACACAAUAAAAAGAAAAAAGAGUGAAAAGUGAGAAAAAUAGCUGGUGUAUGUAUGACCAUUCGAGAUUGUGAUUUUGUUAUUUGGAGCCGCCAAGGGAUGAGUUUCAAGGGUUUACAAGAAAAUUUGGGUUGAAGGAGAGAAGCCAAAAUCGUUAGGACCAUUGAGAAACAGAGUACUGAGUGUAAAUUGUUUCAAACAUUAUUUAUACAAUUAGCAUGUCAUAUUGAGGUCAUAUAUUGUCAUCCUGGUCUAGUGUAUAAGAUGGUAAUUCUUUAAAUAACUACUAUUACGUAGGAAUGAAUAAAAAACUAUUACGUAGGAAUGAAUCAUAUAUGAGAUUGUACGAGAUUAAUAGCCCAAUCUAAUUUUGUCUGAUGAAGAGAAGAUAUUAACCCAAAACACGUCCUUGCUACCUAGGGAUGUUAAUUUCGGAAAAAUUGGUAACACUGUCCCUUUUUUUUUUUUACGAAAAAGUUUGGAUACAUUAAUUUCCAAACCACAAGUCAAAGCAAAUUUUUGAAUCAUUUGUCACUUACAAAAGUUUACGAAUCAUCCUCUAAUACAGCUCUUGCAUCAAUAACAGAAUUCGGACGUGACCUUUUUUAUAACCAAUCUUUUAUUUAUCACUACUUAGGGUGUUCCAACCUUUUGGCCAAACCAAUCUUUUCUUUUCUUGAUAUAGUACAAACUUUCUUUUUUUUCUUUUUUUUGGUAAGAGAUAUGGUACAAACUUUCGCUGCAUGACCUAAUCCUAGUGAAGUCAUUAGAUUAUUAUUAUUAUUAUAAUAGCCCAGAUGCGUAUGUAUCUGUUUUGUUUCUUUCAUGCGGCAGGGGUAAAUUUAGGAGCGGGGAAGUGGUACAAAGCGCGGCGAAGGAUCUCAAUCGGCGGGUUGGGAGUGAAUGUCAGCCGGUGAAGGAUCUCAAUCGUCCGGUCGUGGGUUCACAUCAUCAUUCAAUUUGUGCAACCAACUGACAAGUCAACUGAGAAAAUAAUGGGUCGUGAUUGGACUGGAUUCACAAAGAGGGACCUGUGAAUGGAAGCCCAUCCUCGAUUGCACAUGGCGUCCGUAGAAGUUAAGCGGGUGGUUGUCCAAGUUUCAAAUCCAUGCUGUGGCUGUAAGAUCCGAUCAUAUUUGACCGGGUCCAAGAAUCUGGACUUUCUCGACUUGUCAAACGUGUCUCUGCUCUGCCCGAUGCCUGGUAGUGUUCUAGUAGGGAGGAUUUUACAAAACAGUCCAAUGAGAAUUUGUCGCAUAAUUUAUAGGUUCUAGAUAAAAUCAUUUUGAAUCAAAUCUUCAGUUAUUGUUCAAUUUUAGUAAUAAUUUAUUCAGUUAUUGUUUCAAAGAUUCAGAAUUUCAUAUUGUAAUAGGUAAGACUUGCUAUUUUUUGUUCCCGUCGACAUUCACGUAGUAUAUGCGCAACUUUAAUCUGUUCAAGUUACCCCAAAGAGGGGGCGGGGGGAGAGGAGGGGUUUGACUAAAUAAUUGAAUAUUUUUUUGUGAAAUUCGUGUUGGCAAAAAAAAAAAGUUUAGCUAAAAAGGGAAAUUGAGCUGUGAAAGAAUCAGAGGGUGAAUUCAAUUCUUGAAGACUUUUAUUUGCCACAAAAGGGCAGUUCGUCUCUUUCACUGAAACGAUUUGAUUUGAAACAGCUGCACGUUCACGGUGUUUGACAAUUAAUAUCAUCAUUUGGCCAUCCCGCAGCAGCAGCAGCAGCAGCCUUCGCUCAGAACAGCCUUCUUUCUAAUAUUUAUCAAUUAUUAUUUAGUUGACUGACUUAAAAUCCAAAUAUGUAUUGUUGUAAUGAGCGGUGGCAUUGCAUCCAGAAGGUUGACAAUAAUGUCUGUUUCUGUUACUCAAUCCCAUCCCGACGCAUUUCAUUUUCAUGAGGUGGGGCAAAACAAAAACAUACAGCGGAGGAAUGAAUGAGAACGAUAAUAAGGUAAAGGCACUCCCUAUAAUCAGAUAGCAUCUCUUCUUAUUGGUUAGUUUUGACGCGUAAGAAAAACUAGACAAAUCCCACCAGUCUACUACAAAUGUUGUUAUUCUAGUAGAGUACCAAUCAAGGAUUCACACGGCCAAAUUCAAGAUUUGCUCAGGUAGAGACAAGCAGCCCAACAGGAAAACAAAUGAUGGAGCCAUGGAAUGAAUGGACCAUGGAGGAGGAUAUCCCAACAAUGAAAUUACUGAACAUUACACUUGCUACUCUCAUCAAAGGAAAUUACAUGUUGGCAAGUUGUCCCCCGCCCGACUGCCGUCCAGCCCCCUCCCCAGUCCCCACCACCCUAAUUUUAUUUUUUUUUUUUAAAAAGGAAAAAAGAAAGCUAGAAACAUAUUAUUAUUAUUAUUAUUAUUAUCAUACAGUUUCUCUACAGUGGAAAAAGGAAUUAAAGAAAAGCAAGGACACUUUAAAAAGCAAAUUCACACACAGAAGCCACUACCACCGUCCCAUUUCCAUUCACACAGAAAAGAGAAGAAAGGGAAAAAGCUGACUCUUUGGAAAAGCGAUUGAACCACUACGACUACGUCUUGUACGCCAUGCCAUGGAGAUGUUGUUAAUUGACAACCUAGCUCCAAUCCCACCCCCCCCCCCCCAAAAAAAAGUAAAAAUAAAAAGACAAAUUUACAAAAUAGUCCAUCGGAGGAGGAUAAGCGUUCAGAUCACAAAAAUUGAACAUGAUUGCACUAACUAAACUCCUAGUUCACUUGCAAACCUGCGGGGAAAAUCCAAAAUUGCAGCUCAUAAACAGGGAGCAAAGGUCAAUUAUUUGCUGCAAAUGCCAAAUGGGGCCUUGACAUCCAUCUAAUAAUAUCCAGUUGCCUCUGCGAUAGGGCAGUUUCAAGAGCUCCCGCUGCUUAUUUCUCACAUGCCUACCAUACGAUAUUCCCCUAUUGGAGCAUAAAUAAAGACUAUAUAAUAAAGAUGAUAAAACCAAUUCCCACAGACUAAAAAAAGGAAUAAACUGGAUUUGGAAAAAAACGAUAGAAUAAUUAAUUUCGUACCAACUAAAGAAUGAAUAAAUAUUCCAUCAUUAGGAAAAAUAAGCUACGGACAUAUUUUUGGUUCCGAAAUUCAUAAACCACCACUACCUCAUUUCCCAACACUGAUACACCCAAAAUCUCUUCCAACCUCGUUUAUCUUCAACCUGAUUAAAAAAUAAAAGAGCUUUUUAAUUAUACAACAUACAUUUUCUUCCCCUAUUUACAUGGUACCACCAAACUGGCCUCUUCUUUUUUCACAAUUAAAUUUUCUUCCCAAAAAAAUAUACAAUAUAUAUAUAUUAGCAAUAAUUUUCUUUAUCAGAAGCUACCAUCGAGCCAUUUCGUUCUGUUCUUCAACAACCAAACCUCCACUCCGCUGGCCCACGUACCUACUAAAACUUGAUUCCGAAACCGAACCCGCCACGCUCCGACUCCUACUGAUUCGACCUCUGGACCUAAAUCUCCUGAAAAAUGAAACGAAAUUACUAAUGAGCCUCCCCAUUCCUCCACCGCCGCCACCACCGUCUCUGCCCCCAUUUCUCCGCCUCGAACCCCACACGAUCCUCCGCGGCAAGCCGACGCUGUUGCUGCCGCUUCCGUGACUAAAAUCUCCAUCCAUUUCUGUAUAUACUUCUGGCAGUUCUCUUUCUUCACUGGUCCCUCCUCCGGUCCUCCUCCCGCCACUAAAUCUACCCACCGCGAAACCCCCUCCGGGUAAUCUCCAAAUAGUCAGCCCAACUGCUUCCUCAGCACGGUUCGUAUUUCCCGAAUCGGAAUACAGCCCCGUUGGUGAUUCCGCCGGCAAUUCGUGUCGGCAAACAGGGCAAGAAUUGCGAAGAGAAAGCCACGGAAGGAUACAGUCGGAGUGGUAUAUGUGCUUGCACGGCAUUUCUCGAGCUUCGGAACCCAAAUCGAAGGCUUCUUUGCACACUGCGCAGUGGGAGUCCAAAUUUACAUGGGUCGAGACUAUUUCAAUCGUGGGCAUCGAUUCGAUGGCCGAUUUCGACGCCGGCGGGUUCUCCGGCCUUGUUAACCCGUUGACUUCAAUCUGCGCCAGUUGAUCGAGUAAACGGUCGAACCCGGAGCCCAUUAAAAACUCCGACAUACUCGAGGGGAGUGGCCUGAGGCCCGACCCGGUCCCAUCAUCGUAAUACAGCUCGUAGCUUCUUUCUCCUCCUCCUCCUCCACCACCACCGUCUCCGUCACCGUCCUCUCCUACAGUUUCAGCUUGUCCUCGAAGAACUAUCACAGGAUUGAACGGAGACCGGUCGCCACGGUUCCGGCGAUUCCGGCGAAACCUGAGGUUGACACUGUCGGAUCUUCUCGGGAACUCCGGCAACGGCGAGGGGGGACUGGAAUCCAGAGCUUCGAUGAACCCACUGUCGCAGUAGGGACAGACAACGUUAUGCUCAGCCCAGACCCGAACAAAUCUGGUGCAUCGGUAGCACCAGUACGACGUCGUUAUGGGGGUGGUCGUCGUCGACAUCUGGAACGGACAAUCCGAGUUGACUCGUUGGGUUAGAUCAGAUCUGAUGAAAGCGUCUGUUGAGAGCUUUCUUUCUUUCUUUCCGACUAGCUGGAAAAAUGGAAUAAGUGAUGAUGCAAUGGCGUUUAAGCGUGGGGCGAGGGCUUAUAUGUGCUGGAGAAUGUGAAAGGAGUUUUCGUGGAAUUUUAAAACACGCGUGAUGAUGUUCGUUCGGACAUGGGUUUAACGGCACAGCCGCGGAGCGUUUGUUCCUGUUAAUCGUGGGCCCACGCUGCUACCGAGGGAAGAUAUGAGUGGAAUUUAACGGUGUUAAUCUGGUCAAUUUUGGUGGAACGCAAUUGUUACAGCGUCAACCCGUCGACUAGCAAUUACUCCACUUACUAUGUUGGAGGAUGUUCUUGUUUGGUUCUUCUAUUUUAGGGCAUGGUUAAGGGGAUGCACUGGACAAAAAUUACUACUCCCUCCGUUCCACUUUGAUAGUCCUGUUUUUCUUUUUCGUCUGUCCCAAAUUGUAAUCCAUUUUUCAAUUGAAUAAUGUAGUUAUAUUUAAAUUUUCUAAAAUAUCCUUAUCUAAUGUAAGUUAUUGUUACUAUAAACCUACUCCAUUUAACGAGAGUUUAUUCUUCUUUUACCAUCAAUUCAAGUUUCCAUAAAGUUGUACUCUAAUUAAUGUGAGGGUAUUUUAGAAAAAUAGCUACCUAAAUUGAUUGUUCCAACAAAAUUAACUACUUUUCUUAAACUGUGUGAAAAAAGAAUCAGGACUAUCAAAGUGGGACGGAGGGAGUACUAAUUUAAGGCACAGAUUAGAUGUAUAAAGACUUUUUAUAACGAAAAUUGCUGGACUGGUAGUGUAACUUGUAAUUUGCAAAUGUGUCUGUGGCAUGUGAAGGUGUGUUAAUGUUCUAUUCUGAGUUUAUGGCGGAAAACAAGCAUCAACAAGUCGACAGAAGUAUGCUCAAUAUUGAUUUAAAUAUUAAAAUGAAUAUUUGAAUUUGACUUGUGUUUGAAAUUUUUUUGAAAGAAAUUGACCAAAUUUGGCUUGAAAUUCCAUAUGUAUAUUUACAAAAAUUUUGGUUUAACUUGUCAAAAUAUCAUGUUCAAGCACAUACAAUCAAAUUUUGAUUUGGUUUGAAAUUUCAUGUUGAAUUAUAUAGAGCUUUUCGCCCUAAUUCGUAGCUUUUUUCCUUGAUUUUUGCUAUCUGAUAUUUAAGAAAUCUAUUACAAUAAAUUAUGAAUUGUGAUUAAAAUCAAUUAUGAAAUGUGAUUAGAAACUUCCAAAUUUGAUUGAUAUUUAAACAAACAAGUUUGAAUGACUCUGAUUCGAGUCGAAUUCAAGUCGAGUACCAAAUUGUUUAUUUCCAUUUACAACCCUAUCUGAGUUUCUUAAUAAAAUUAUGUGAUCCUGUGAUUCUAAUUUUCACGUUCUUGUAGUACUGUACUUGAUGUUAAAAUGCAAGAGAUACACUUUUAACUAAUUCUUUCGCUUUCUCACCGCAUUGCCAAUUUUUGAAAUGCCAUUUAUCUCGAAGUCUAAAUACUCCUAUAUUUCAAAGUGAUUCAUUUGAACUUUCUCACAUUAGUCGGCCAUUUAGUUGACAAACAUUUCACGAUGCCAAUAGAUGCACAACUUCAAUACCCAGGAUUUGGAGUGACCAGGGAGAUCUCUUCAGUUUUACAAACUUCCACUACCUAAUAAUAUAUGAGUAAAUCUUUUCUACGCUGAUGGUGUACACACUAUCAUCGUUGGAUUCAUGACAUGUGUGCAAGAGUUGAAUUUUAAAUUCAAAUUUUGCAUAGUUUUCAAUCAUCCAACGCUGAUAGUGUAUACACUGUCAGUGUAGGAAAGAUUAAUCUAUAGUAUAUAUAUAUAUAUAUAUAGAGUCAUUGAUAUGUAUACUUGAGAGAUUUAGUUAGUCCUUAGAAAUUAGAAAUUAUGGUUCCAAUUUUCCAUUUUCUUUGCCUUUUACUUCUUAAAUCUCGGGUUGAAAAAAAAAAAGAAAAAAGAGGAGUGAGUGAUUCACUUAACAACUAUUAAUGGGAAUUAAGCUAAAGAUUGAGGGAUACUAGUGAUUGGAAAUGGGGAAGGGGUUGCCGUGGCGCGUAGCGAAUGCUGCUUAGCCAGCUGGAGGGGACCGUUGACGGACGCUGGGAAGGUUUUGAAAAUGCAGCUCAUAAUCAAUGCAGGCGACAAAUACAUCACAUGCAUGUAUUCGUGAAAGGAGAAGAUUCCUAACGAGGCCGAGAAGGCGUGUUUUCAAACGAAACUUGCCAUCUAGACGACGAGGCUGACGCGUCUCGGUCUCCUGUUACCUACGCGCACCCAACGCUUUGGCAUUGAGGAAUUAUUGACACUUCAAUCAAGUAGUUGGUGCCACUUGCGAUCCAGACAAUUUGGUUUAAACUAUUCUAAGCUUGAUUAUUUAAUUGAAUUUAAUUAGAUUAGCAUGGAUUAUCAGCUAUAUACUUUUGUUAAGUUGAUGACUCGUCUUGAGAAGCAACCAACUUGAACAUAUGAAUGAACAGUGCCAGUCAUAAAUGGAUGAAAACCUAAACUUGGCUAGGAAGCAAUUGACAAUUGGACAAGCACAUAUUCUAGGAUACCUCCUCUUGACUUGGUUUGAAAAUGCCAUUGAACAAAAUUUGGUGGUUAAUUACAAGCUUUUGAUUUUGUUUAUUAAAAGUUAUUUUGAGCAUUGUCCUUUAUCAAAACACUUGCGCCCAUAUGAGUUAGGGAAUGUGUGAUUAAUAUCACUUUGGAUUAAAGAUGAACUUUUCAAUUGAUCAUUGUAGCAGAUUACAUUAUGACGUAUGCGAUAUAUAAAAAUAAUUGAGAAACAUGUUUAGUAAUCAGAGUUCAAAUCCUAGUUGUAGAUCAAAAAUAUUUUUGUAUUUUUAGUUAAAUCUAAUUAGUGUGCAACAGCAGACUUUUUUAGUUUAGAUGCGGGUUUCUCUCUUUCUAACUCCUCAUGAUCCAGUUAGGUCCUCCUUUAGUAUAUAUUAGAACCGGAGUAUUAUGUUAAUGUUGUCGAUUGACAAAAAACGAAAAAUGGUUUGUGUGCCAAUGGUCAACUCAAUUCCACAACUAAUAACUAUCAUUUGUAUUUGAUACAUAUUAUGAAAAAUUAAGGGGUCAUUUUUUGAUCGAAACCAAUCUAAGAAAGGACUUUGAAUGGACCAAUCUACUUGGCCAUCAUUCCGAAAAUGUUUUAAACUAGACCCCACUGCAUCUAGUAACGUAAAAAAGCAAAUUUUAUUAACAAAAUAUUGGAAAUAGUUCAGCACGACUUGAUCUAUAUUACUGUCCUAGUGACAAGUUAAAUUCAUUAAAAAUUAGAGAUCUGCAAUAUAACAGAUGCAAUAGAUUCAAAAAAUUAUGAAUAAAUCUGAAAAAUAUAAAAAAUUUAAUUGUUUUCUAGUAGAUAGAUCAUUGCAACUUCCUUCUAUGCAUGUUACAAUUGCCAAAUCUACUAAUGAACAAUUUUAAACUUCAAUAGUGAUGAUGAAAUAGAUCCAAGAUUAAAAAUAAAUAAAUCUGAUAACUAGAUUUGAAAUAAAUCUAUAUCUAACAACAACAACAAAAAAAGAAAAAAUAAAUAAAAAUCCCCAUAGAAAUUCGUAGGAGAAUUUAAUAAAAUUCUCAUUAGAAAUUUCUAGAAAUAACAAAAAAACUCUCACUAAGAGGGACGUUAUUGAAAUAAUAAUAAUAAAAAAAAAGAAACAGAGACUCGUGAGAGGGAAACCAUGGCGUGGAUACUAAUUGACAAGAAUCCACGGUGGCUGUUCUGGAUACUAAUUGACAAGUAUUAACAAAGAAGACGAAAUGAAGAAGAAGAAAAAGUUUUUCCAAUCGACCCUUUUAUUAAUUUUGCGCUGAACGCUUGCUUGUAAAGUCUUAUAAUACAAUUAACCACUUAUAAUGAACUUUCAUAUAUUCUGUUGCUUCCAGCAUUUUUUGGGACUAGUAUCUUGUCUUUGUUGAUAAUCAUCUAGCAAGAAAAAGAUUCCUUCCUUCCAAAUAUAUAAGAUGAAUAAUUCGAGUGAAUAUGGGUCGACACGAAGAGCAUCUCGGGGUCCCUUUUCAUCCUCCUCCACUGGAGUCUUGAGUCGAGGCUAAAAGGCCUAAAACGCUCCUUUUUACCCUUUGACAGAUCAAAAGCUGGUUAUUUGAUGCCCACUCCGAAGGACAUGGUGAAAAAGCUCAGAAAGCCACUUGUCAGAAAAGGCACCCAACAGCUUCGUCUAUAUUGUACGACGCAAGAACACUGCAGUGUGUGUUCUAGAUAGGUUAUUAUUUAAAAUAAUUAUUGUAGUAUUUUUUUUGAAAUAUAAUUAUAUGACAUAGAAAAAAAAGUGAUCCAGAAGAUAAAAAGUUGAUGAUAAAUUAUGUUUGUGAUGCAAGUAAAAUAUUAUUUAAAAUAAAAAUGCUGUCGAAAAAGAAUUGAUCUACUGAAACUUUAACAAGAUAUAAGAUUAUGUUAGAAUAUUUCUAGACAGUGUGUUUGUAGGAUAUAGUAACUUGUUUAGAGGACUAAUCCCAUUUUGUACCUUUUAUGUAAUUUCCACUUCACAUCUCGAGUUUUUAUUCUUGACACUUUAUAUCCCAAUUUUAUCAAAACUUCAUAAAUUACGCCUUUAUAUUUUAUUUUGGACAUAUCAUACCCCGCCUUUACCAAUUUAGCCCCAAAUUAUUUUAAAUCUUGCACACUGCGAAUGAAAAUAUACCAUCAACAAAUGACUACACACCACUUUCAGCUAAAAGCCUAAAAAAAAAAAAAAAAAUGCACGAGUUUAGGUGUUUACUUCAUAUCUUAUACGUAGAGGUAAUGAUUUCGUUCAAGUAUUAUUAAACAAACAUAAAUUGCCGUUAUUCGUUAAGUUUUCUGAGGUUUGAGUUAAUUAAUUCAAAUUGAGAAAAUAAUUUUUGUCCAUUUAAUAUUUAAACGAACUUGAACUCUCUUUGUAUGGUAUGCAAACAAAAAAUUGAGCUUCUUGUAUCAGGCUAAGUUUAGCUCUAUUGUUUAUAUAUUUUCAUUCACGAUGUGCAAGAUUCAAGCAAUUUAGGAUAAUUUGUAACUUUGGAGAUGAAUAUUCACAGCAUAAUGUGGUAAGUUUUGGUAACUUUAUGGUAAAGAGGUAUUUAUAAUGAAAGUUUGUGGUACAAAGUGGAAAUUGUCCUUGUGAAGGCCUUACAUUUUGUGAUCUAUAUUCACAAAGUCAAAUUGGGACCGGAAACACAGGGAAUAACAAAUAUGGCUAGUGGCAGAUAAUAACUGGGAAUUAGUACUCGUGCAUCGCACAACAUGCCAUAUGACACACAUGUUGCACCCUGCCCUUUUCUCCCAAACCGAACACAUUGCUUGCAGGCUUGAUUCUCAUUCAUGAGUAAUAUUAGUAUAUUUUGUCCAUCUGUCAAGCAUAUUCUCAAAUUUUCAUUAAUGGCUCGUUGGAUUCCUCGUUAUUUGAAAAACAAGUUUUUUAUAGACUAUAUAUUAUAUUAAUAUAUAAAUAAAAAUAAUUUUAAAAACAUCACAUCCAUACAAUAUAUCAAAAAUAAUUUCAAAUAUAUAAAAAAAUACACACCACCACCACUAAGUCCACUAUCACCACCACUACCAACCAUCAAAAUCAUACCGUCACCCGCCGCCCCUUCCCCCUCUUUCCUCCCCCUCAUUCUUCCUCAUCCUCCCUCUUCCCCUCUCUUUUCUCCUCUUUUUUUCCUUCCUCCCCACGCCUCUCUCAAUAGCCCCCUCCCCCUCUCCCAUCGCGACCAGAUUUGGUUGCAUGUGGUGACCAUUUUCUAGUCGCGAUCCGUGAUCUGAGAGAUGGGAGGGGAGGGUGCGGUGAGAGAGGUUAGGGAGGAGGGAGGGGGAGAGAGCAAGAGCAGGGGUGGACUCAUUAAAAUUUUAAAAUUUAAAAAUAUCCCAAAAUAUAUUUUCAAAACACUCGAAAAACAGUAUAAAAAACAUUUACAGUAAAAGUUUUUUAACUACAUUAUUACAAUAAAAUAUUUCAAAAACAGCUUAAAAAGAAACUAAUCCAAACGGAGCGAUUUUUUCGCAACGAUAACAUUCCUAAAACCUAAUUUAUCCUAUUCAACACGAUUUUUUUUUCGCAACGAUAACAUUCCUAUUAAUCUAAUAUAUCAUAUUCUAUAGGGAAGGGAUUCACCUAAUCUAUCAUAUUCUACAUUGAUGUGUAAGGGGCUACUAGAUAUAUAGAUCUGAUUAAAUAAAAAAGGUAUUCUGGUACUUUCUUUGAAAAUUUUCACUACAGAUAAAGUUUAAACCCCUGACCUGCAGUCCAAAGAGGGAUUUAAUCUCUUUUGGUAGCCAUUGAGUCAAAGAUCAGCGGUUCUCAAAUUUCCAUCUCGGUGAAGGCUGGGUUGUUUGAACUCAACAUCACUAAAGAGUCUAAAAAUGCCCACUCGACAUAGACUAGGCAACUUUGUUAUUGCCAUCGAAUAAUCCCAAAACUCAGUUAGCAUCAAAAUCGCGCUUGCUUUAAUUCCACAGAGGAGCCAAACCACAAUUCCAAACAAGAGCGAGCUCGACCUAUUUGCUCAUGGCCAAAUUAAGGUUUUGAAUUUAUUAGAGUCACCAGGGAUUAUUUUUAUUUGGUGAGCUACGAAAACUUCCGCUCGACACCUUGUUGCUGUCCAAAAGAAUCAAAUUUCCAUUGCCAAGAGUCUGUGCUCUUUAGAAUACCCAAAGUUGUCGUAUAGUUUCUCCGUACACUUCUUUUCACUGGGCUUUUGUGCCCAAAGAAGACUGGUCUUUAACUAAAAUUGUCUCUCAUCCACGUUAAGCAUGCUUGGCGUUCAUAGAAAUUUUAGGGAUCCCAUCACCAGUCCGAACAGACAAAUUUGCGCCAAUGACUUAACUGUCAAUAUGCUCGUAACCAUCAUUUUCCAAUAAUUUAUAUCAAACGCCAAGGCUGCUUGUCCUGCUAGGCAUAACAGGCCCAUCCACUCAUAUUGGGCUUUUGUAAGUCUAGGGCCUCCACCCAAGGACCAAGGUCUUCAGCAUUGUACUCGCCCCCGUGCUCCAAAAUCAAUUCCACGAGCUCUGCACGCCACGUACUGGAAGUCUGGCAAGGUCAACCAAUCGAAUACAUGCAGUUUAAUUGAAGAAUACGCAACUCAAAACAUCUGUAUAGUUUUUCCUCACAAGACGAGGUUAAACACCCGUCGCCUUCUAUAUUUGCAGCAAAUUAUUGCGUGUCACCAUCAUCUUUCCUUAAUAUAUCCAAGUUUAUCUGAAGAUAAUUUGUGACUCUACAUUUAGAUUUUCAGUUUCUUGAGGACAUGAAAAAAAA